GGUUGUAAAGUUCUUUCGCUAGGGAAGAUAAUGACGGUACCUAGUAAAGAAGCCCCGGCUAACUCCGUGCCAGCAGCCGCGGUAAUACGGAGGGGGCUAGCGUUGUUCGGAAUUACUGGGCGAAAGCGCACGUAGGCGGACUGGAAAGUUGGGGGUGAAAUCCCAGGGCUCACCCUGGAACUGCCUCCAAAACUAUCAGUCUAGAGUUCGAGAGAGGUGAGUGGAAUUCCGAGUGUAGAGGUGAAAUUCGUAGAUAUUCGGAGGAACACCAGGGCGAACGCGGCUCACUGGCUCGAUACUGACCCUGAGGUGCGAAAGUGUGGGGAGCAAACAGGAUUAGAUACCCUGGUAGUCCACACCGAAAACGUUGAAUGCCAGUCGUCGGGUAGCAUGCUAUUCGGUGACACACCUAACGGAUUAAGCAUUCCGCCUGGGGAGUACGGUCGCAAGAUUAAAACUCAAAGGAAUUGACCGGGGCCCGCUCAUGCGG
rnacentral:rRNA from 1 species